AGCUCCAAUAGCGUAUAUUAAAGUUGCUGCAGUUAAAAAGCUCGUAGUUGCAUUUCCGAGGCAAGGGAUUAGUCCGACCUUUGGUGGGUAUUUAUUCCUCUUGCCUCGUCCUUGAGUGGUGCUUCUUGGUAUUAAGUUAUCGAGGAGAUAGCCGCUCAUCGUUUACUGUGAGAAAAUUAGAGUGUUCAAAGCAGGCUUAUGCCGUUGAAUAUAUUAGCAUGGAAUAAUAAGAUAGGACCUCGGUACUAUUUUGUGGGUUUGAGAACCAAGGUAAUGAUGAAUAGGGACAGUUGGGGGUAUUCGUAUUCAGUUGUCAGAGGUGAAAUUCUUAGAUUUACGGAAGACGAACUACUGCGAAAGCAUUUACCAAGGAUGUUUUCA
rnacentral:rRNA from 1 species